rnacentral:rRNA from 1 species
UACGGAGGGUGCAAGCGUUAUCCGGAUUUACUGGGCUUAAAGGGUGCGCAGGCGGCUAUGUAAGUCCGUGGUGAAAUCUCCGGGCUUAACCCGGAAACUGCCGUUGAUACUAUAUAUCUUGAAUGCUGUGGAGGUAAGCAGAAUAUGUCAUGUAGCGGUGAAAUGCUUAGAGAUGACAUAGAAUACCUAUUGCGAAGGCAGCUUACUACGCAGAUAUUGACGCUCAUGCACGAAAGCGUGGGGAUCAAACAGG